GACACUAUGGCCGAGUGGUUAAGGCGAUGCCCUGCUAAGGCAUUUCCUUCGGGAGCGCGAGUUCGAAUCUCGUUGGUGUCG
rfam:Exophiala oligosperma strain CBS 72588 unplaced genomic scaffold supercont1.8, whole genome shotgun sequence.